UACGUAGGGUGCGAGCGUUAAUCGGAAUUACUGGGCGUAAAGCGUGCGCAGGCGGUUCGUUAUGUCCGAUGUGAAAGCCCCCGAGCUUAACUUGGGAAUGGCAUUGGAAACUGGCGGGCUGGAGUGCGGCAGAGGGGGGGUGGAAUUCCACGUGUAGCAGUGAAAUGCGUAGAUAUGCGGAGGAACACCGAUGGCGAAGGCAAUCCCCCUGGGCCUGCACUGACGCUCAUGCACGAAAGCGUGGGGAGCAAACAGG
rnacentral:rRNA from 1 species